rnacentral:rRNA from 1 species
UUGCGUAGGUGGCAUUGUAAGUCGGUAGUGAAAUCGUCCCGCUCAACGGGAUAUACAUUAUCGAAACUGCAAAGCUAGAGGACGAGAGAGGUUAUUGGAAUUCCUAGUGUAGGGGUAAAAUCCGUUGAUAUUAGGAGGAACACCGAUGGCGUAGGCAGAUAACUGGCUCGUUCCUGACACUCAGGCACGAAAGCGUGGGGAGCAAACA